rnacentral:rRNA from 1 species
GACGAACGCUGGCGGCGUGCUUAACACAUGCAAGUCGAACGGAAAGGCCCUGCUUGCCGGGUACUCGAGUGGCGAACGGGUGAGUAACACGUGGGUGAUCUGCCCUGCACUUCGGGAUGAGCCUGGGAAGCUGGGUCUAAUACCGGAUAGGAGCCAUUUUUAGUGUGAUGGUUGGAAAGUUUUUUCGGUGUAGGAUGAGCUCGCGGCCUAUCAGCUUGUUGGUGGGGUAAUGGCCUACCAAGGCGGCGACGGGUAGCCGGCCUGAGAGGGUGGACGGCCACAUUGGGACUGAGAUACGGCCCAGACUCCUACGGGAGGCAGCAGUGGGGAAUAUUGCACAAUGGGCGCAAGCCUGAUGCAGCGACGCCGCGUGGGGGAUGACGGCCUUCGGGUUGUAAACUCCUUUCGCUAGGGACGAAGCUUUUUGUGACGGUACCUAGAUAAGAAGCACCGGCUAACUACGUG